rnacentral:rRNA from 1 species
GAGUUUGAUCCUGGCUCAGAUUGAACGCUGGCGGCAUGCCUUACACAUGCAAGUCGAACGGCAGCACGGGAGCAAUCCUGGUGGCGAGUGGCGAACGGGUGAGUAAUGUAUCGGAACGUACCUUUCAGUGGGGGAUAACGUAGCGAAAGUUACGCUAAUACCGCAUAUUCUGUGAGCAGGAAAGCAGGGGAUCGCAAGACCUUGCGCUGAUUGAGCGGCCGAUAUCAGAUUAGCUAGUUGGUGAGGUAAAGGCUCACCAAGGCGACGAUCUGUAGCGGGUCUGAGAGGAUGAUCCGCCGCACUGGAACUGAGACACGGUCCAGACUCCUACGGGAGGCAGCAGUGGGGAAUUUUGGACAAUGGGGGCAACCCUGAUCCAGCCAUGCCGCGUGAGUGAAGAAGGCCUUCGGGUUGUAAAGCUCUUUCAGCCGGGAAGAAAUCACAUGGGUUAAUACCCUGUGUGGAUGACGGUACCGGAAUAAGAAGCACCGGCUAACUACGUGCCAGCAGCCGCGGUAAUACGUAGGGUGCGAGCGUUAAUCGGAAUUACUGGGCGUAAAGCGUGCGCAGGCGGUUUGUUAAGAUAGGCGUGAAAUCCCCGGGCUCAACCUGGGAACUGCGUUUAUGACUGGCAGGCUAGAGUAUGGCAGAGGGGGGUGGAAUUCCACGUGUAGCAGUGAAAUGCGUAGAGAUGUGGAGGAACACCGAUGGCGAAGGCAGCCCCCUGGGCCAAUACUGACGCUCAUGCACGAAAGCGUGGGUAGCAAACAGGAUUAGAUACCC